CGUAACAAGGUCUCCGUUGGUGAACCAGCGGAGGGAUCAUUACCGAGUUUACAACUCCCAAACCCCUGUGAACAUACCUUAAUGUUGCCUCGGCGGAUCAGCCCGCGCCCCGUAAAACGGGACGGCCCGCCAGAGGACCCAAACUCUAAUGUUUCUUAUUGUAACUUCUGAGUAAAACAAACAAAUAAAUCAAAACUUUCAACAACGGAUCUCUUGGUUCUGGCAUCGAUGAAGAACGCAGCAAAAUGCGAUAAGUAAUGUGAAUUGCAGAAUUCAGUGAAUCAUCGAAUCUUUGAACGCACAUUGCGCCCGCUGGUAUUCCGGCGGGCAUGCCUGUUCGAGCGUCAUUUCAACCCUCAAGCCCCCGGGUUUGGUGUUGGGGAUCGGCUCUGCCUUCUGGCGGUGCCGCCCCCGAAAUACAUUGGCGGUCUCGCUGCAGCCUCCAUUGCGUAGUAGCUAACACCUCGCAACUGGAACGCGGCGCGGCCAUGCCGUAAAACCCCAACUUCUGAAUGUUGACCUCGGAUCAGGUAGGAAUACCCGCUGAACUUAAGCAUAUCAA
rnacentral:rRNA from 1 species